rnacentral:rRNA from 1 species
GAAGGGAGCUUGCUCCCGGAUGUUAGCGGCGGACGGGUGAGUAACACGUGGGUAACCUGCCUGUAAGACUGGGAUAACUCCGGGAAACCGGAGCUAAUACCGGAUAGUUCCUUGAACCGCAUGGUUCAUGGAUGAAAGACGGUUUCGGCUGUCACUUACAGAUGGACCCGCGGCGCAUUAGCUAGUUGGUGGGGUAAUGGCUCACCAAGGCGACGAUGCGUAGCCGACCUGAGAGGGUGAUCGGCCACACUGGGACUGAGACACGGCCCAGACUCCUACGGGAGGCAGCAGUAGGGAAUCUUCCGCAAUGGACGAAAGUCUGACGGAGCAACGCCGCGUGAGUGAUGAAGGUUUUCGGAUCGUAAAGCUCUGUUGUUAGGGAAGAACAAGUGCGAGAGUAACUGCUCGCACCUUGACGGUACCUAACCAGAAAGCCACGGCUAACUACGUGCCAGCAGCCGCGGUAAUACGUAGGUGGCAAGCGUUGUCCGGAAUUAUUGGGCGUAAAGGGCUCGCAGGCGGUUUCUUAAGUCUGAUGUGAAAGCCCCCGGCUCAACCGGGGAGGGUCAUUGGAAACUGGGAAACUUGAGUGCAGAAGAGGAGAGUGGAAUUCCACGUGUAGCGGUGAAAUGCGUAGAGAUGUGGAGGAACACCAGUGGCGAAGGCGACUCUCUGGUCUGUAACUGACGCUGAGGAGCGAAAGCGUGGGGAGCGAACAGGAUUAGAUACCCUGGUAGUCCACGCCGUAAACGAUGAGUGCUAAGUGUUAGGGGGUUUCCGCCCCUUAGUGCUGCAGCUAACGCAUUAAGCACUCCGCCUGGGGAGUACGGUCGCAAGACUGAAACUCAAAGGAAUUGACGGGGGCCCGCACAAGCGGUGGAGCAUGUGGUUUAAUUCGAAGCAACGCGAAGAACCUUACCAGGUCUUGACAUCCUCUGACAACCCUAGAGAUAGGGCUUUCCCUUCGGGGACAGAGUGACAGGUGGUGCAUGGUUGUCGUCAGCUCGUGUCGUGAGAUGUUGGGUUAAGUCCCGCAACGAGCGCAACCCUUGAUCUUAGUUGCCAGCAUUUAGUUGGGCACUCUAAGGUGACUGCCGGUGACAAACCGGAGGAAGGUGGGGAUGACGUCAAAUCAUCAUGCCCCUUAUGACCUGGGCUACCCCAGUGCUACAAUGGACAGAACGAAAGGCUACGAGACCGCAAGGUUAACCAAUACCAUAAAUCUGUUCUCAGUUAGGGUUGCAGUGAACA